rnacentral:misc_RNA from 1 species
GUUAUAUGGAACUCUAGCUUCUUCAUUUGGGAAUUUUAUUGUGAUUGAUAUUUCUGCUAAUUAUAUCCAAGGAAAGGUUCCUGAUGGUAGUCAAAGCAAUAUUAGCCUUGACAGGAAUUGUCUUCAGGCUGUGUCGAAUCAGAGGAGUUUAGUGGAUUGUAAAUCAUUUUAUGCUGAGAGAGGCUUAAGUUUUGAUAAUUUUGGAGCCCCAGAACGAGCAGAACCCCCAUCGCGUGAAGUUUUACCUGCUUCUAAAAAGAAAAGUAAACAAUGGAUCUACAUUUUGGUGGGAUUGUUUGGUGGACUUGGCUUCAUUGUGAUUUUAGUAAUGAUUAUGAUAGUUGUGUUGCGGAAGUGUGAUAAGACCACUGCAAAUCAGACAGGCAGCACUAAUGUGGGACCUGUUCCAGAAGGAAAUAGCCCGUCACUUCCCAAGGAUCCUGUUAUUUUAUCUGGUUUAAGAAAUUCAUUUACUUAUGAACAAUUACUUUGUUCAACUGGUGAAUUUGGUGAUGCAAAUUUCAUCAAGUCUGGUCACUCUGGAGAUCUCUUCCGUGGUUUUCUAGAUGGAGGAACUCCCAUAGUUGUUAAAAAGGUGAAUUUGCAUUCUGUGAAGAAGGAAUCAUAUGGAAUGGAAUUAGAAUUAUUUAGCAAGUACUCGCAUACAAGAUUGGUCCCACUCCUGGGGCAUUGUUCAGAGAAUGAUAAUGACAAGCUUCUGGUCUAUAAAUAUAUGCC